AAUGAACGCUGGCGGCAGGCCUAACACAUGCAAGUCGAACGGAACCUUCGGGAUUAGUGGCGGACGGGUGAGUAACGCGUGGGAACAUACCCUUUGGUACGGAAUAGCCUCGGGAAACUGGGAGUAAUACCGUAUGUGGUCGAGAGACGAAAGAUUUAUCGCCAAAGGAUUGGCCCGCGUUGGAUUAGGUAGUUGGUGGGGUAAUGGCCUACCAAGCCGACGAUCCAUAGCUGGUUUGAGAGGAUGAUCAGCCACACUGGGACUGAGACACGGCCCAGACUCCUACGGGAGGCAGCAGUGGGGAAUUUUAGACAAUGGGGGAAACCCUGAUCUAGCCAUGCCGCGUGAUCGAUGAAGGCCUUAGGGUUGUAAAGAUCUUUCAGGUGGGAAGAUAAUGACUGUACCACCAGAAGAAGCCCCGGCUAACUCCGUGCCAGCAGCCGCAGUAACAC
rnacentral:rRNA from 1 species